GUUUUUCGGUGUUUUGUUUUUGUCGUUUAAUGGCGGCGCAGUCGAGACUGGAGGCAGAGUCUCGGAUUCUAGACUUAAAGCUGGGGGCUGGAGUGGUAAAGGGAAGAAGAAACAAGUUCGAGCAGGAAUUUUAAUGGGUGUCCAAAUACCCAAACGCCAGUUCAAACUCACAGUGUGCUGCUAAGUGUGAACCUUUAUCAGGCCCUUACGACGCGCCAGGCGCAUCUGCAGGGAGGGUGUCUCCUUAAAGCCCGCGCAACCCGCGAGGGGCCUCCACCGCCAGCCCCGCUCUACGCGCGGGAAGCGAGGCGGGGAGGGAAGUGCCUUUGCAUUCCAACCCGGCCUUUGGACCCAGAGCCUGCAUCCUUAACGUCGACUCCUGAAGGUGACGAAGGGGGCCGGGCUGUCACAGGGACCGCAACAUACAUGUUCACGUAUGUAGAUCCAGGGAGAGGGUGGGGCCCUAGCCAAAGCCGCGCCCUGGUGGUGGUGGUUUUUUUUCUCUCUCUCAAAGCAGGACCUCAGGUUGCGCUGGGCAUUUGCCUGUUCGCUCUUACGUCCUCCUUCCAGGCUUGCCUUCAAACUACCUUUCCCAGGAUCCACAGAACCAAGUGGCUUCUCGCUCAGGCAUUUCCAGGAAUCCUGCAUGUGCACUGAACAAGUUCCCACAGCCCAUGGAGGAAGCCAUCAAGAAGAAAAGCAAAUAAUGGAGGGACCAUGGACGUGAACGUUAUCAGGGCUGUGGGUGAACUCAGAGCUGGGCUGAGGACCAAUGGGGCGUCCACAGCAUCUGCUACUAUGGCAACAUGGCUAAUAAGCAGAUACAACCAAGGAAGAUUAAAGGGAGACCUGAGUCCCCUCCCCUCAAUUCUACUUUACUUUCGAAUGGAACGGACACCAGGGAAAAUCAACAUGUUUUCUCUCCCUUCUUUCUCUUUUCUUGGAUGAGCCAGACAAUCAGGUUACCAGAACAGGGAGAGACAAGGACGCAGCUUAAGGGUGUCCUAAGGACUGGGUGGACUUGGAGCCCUUGAAAGAGAAGACAUGCCUUCUGCCUCAGGCAGGUGUCCUGGGCAUCCUCAUCAGUGUGCUUUCUGAGCGCUUAUUUGCCAGGCACUCUACUGACAAGCUACGAAUGUGUUGUCUCAUCUCCCUGGUGGCUCAGACAGUAAAGAAUCUGACUGCAAUGCAGGAGAUCUGGGCUCCAUUCCUGGGUCAGGAAGAUCCCCUGGAGAGGGAAAUGGCAACCCACUCCAGUAUUCUUGCCUGGAGAAUCCCAAGGACAGAGGAGCUUGGUGAACUACGGUCAGCGGAGCCGCAGAGAGUCGGACCUAACUGAGCAACUAACACACUAUACUAACAAGCUACGAAUGGUUGUCUUAUUACUCUUCUCAUCAAGUCUAAGUUCCCCGAUUAUUUGCAUUCUACAGAGAAGCAAGCUAGGGUAAAGUAACUAAAGAUCUCACAGCCUAAGGUCAUAGAUGUGGGUAAUCAGCUGGACGAUGGGGCUAAAUUCCAAACUCACAUAUAUGACACUUGGAAAUAAGCAUUCAAGCAUCCUUUCAAGGACCAAAGCCAUUCAGAGGUCUUGUCUGAGUAUUUCUUAUACUCUGUGAAGAGGUUUAAAGUAAAAUGAUGACACUUUAUGGUGUCUGGUAGUUGAGGUCACUCAAGGGAUCCAGGGAAUAUUAGUUGAAUUGAGUUUGCAUUAGAUCCACCUGCAACCAAAGUACACAUCCGAUUCUGUAACCCUCCAGCUCAGAGCUCUUCCCUGGCUCCUUGCUGCCCACAGGAGAAGGUUUAAGCUUCUCACUGCGGGCUCCUUUCCGCGUGUCCCUGCGGAUGUGGUCUUGCCUCCUCUCCAGCCUUCACCAUCUGUCUUCCCCACAGCCUCACUCCAGCCAUGCUGACCUACUUGCCACUCCCUCUGUAAACGCUGGCCUUGUGCACUUCCGUUCUGUUGGGAGCCCCUUUGGCCAUUCUUUAUGAGUGAGUUCAGCCGUCACCUCCUGAAUCGGCCAAGCUCCGUCCCCGUUAGUCCUGAGGCAGAGUCUUCCUCUGAGCACCACCGUGCCCUGCGUUACUGAUAUUCCAGGUAUCUUUGUGUCUGUCUGUAUCUCUCACAGACGCAAAAAUACGCCUUUAAGAAGAGCUUGGUUGGGUUGCAACCUUGGCUCUGACCUGUGUGUCCGCAGGCUAAGUUGCUUCUCCUCUCUAAACCUUGUUUUCCUCACCUGUAAAAUGGGCAGUAAACAAGGGACUUCUUGUGAAGCACAAUACCUGACCUGUAUAGUAAAUUCCAAGGUUAGCUGUGAUUAUCUUUGCAUGUUCAGAACUGGUCUUUUUUUGGUUGACACUCAGUGAAGUUAGAGCUCAACCUUGACCAGUGG
ensembl:lncRNA